rnacentral:rRNA from 1 species
GACGAACCGUGCGAACGUUGUCCGGAAUCACUGGGCUUAAAGGGCGCGUAGGCGGGCAAUCAAGUCUGAGGUGAAAUCCUCCAGCUUAACUGGAGAAGUGCCCCGGAUACUGGUUGCCUCGAGGAUGGUAGGGGCAUCUGGAACUAGCGGUGGAGCGGUGAAAUGCGUUGAUAUCGCUAGGAACUCCGGUGGCGAAGGCGAGGUGCUGGACCAUUUCUGACGCUGAGGCGCGAAAGCCAGGGGAGCGAACGGG